AAGAAGACCAUUUUAUAAUGGCGUUUGUACGCUGUUUUUAGUCUUGAUGUAUUAAAAAAAGAUAAGGGUAAAGUGUAUCCAGAUACAUUUCUGUAGUUUUUUAUUAGCACACAAAUUACAAAAUCUGUAACGUGGAUGACAAAAUCUUUUCUGCAUUCCAUUUCUCCAAUUUGCUCUCCAGAUUAUGGAUUCUGAAGACCAUAAUAAUAAGGACAAUGCAAGACAAAGGCUGUCAAAUAACUGUGGAGUGUUUGUCUUGAUGGCAAGUACGUACUGUAAAUGAGGAACAUCGAGGUGUAAUCAAUUGCUGUUACCCAUUUAACUUUUUUUGGUGUGUCUUUGCAUAUUAUAGUAUGCACUGUAUGUUAUUCUGGGACAGAAGUUUGACUUCACUGAACUAAACAUGAAGAACAUAGGAAAAUGGUGGUGUGCCAUCUUGCUUGAAAAUUAAACAUGGGAGAAAGAGAAAAUGAGCUGUUGUAGCUGAAGAAGAAGAAGAAUGCUCUGCACUCCCUGAAACCUAUGGGAAGAAAAAAACUGAACUUGCAUAUGAAACAGACCAAACCCCAGUUGUGCCCUCUGUUUUUAGCAAGGUAUGCAUAAUCAAUUGCAAUGAUGAUUUAAAAUGUGUAUCAUAGAACAAUUUUAAUCCACUUAUAUUUUUCUUUAAGGAUGAGCUGUUAAAAGACGACGACCCUCCAUCAUGCUUCAUCUUCAAGGUAGUUGAAUGUUCUAUAAUGUGCUUUU